UACGUAGGGGGCAAGCGUUGUCCGGAAUUACUGGGCGUAAAGCGCGUGUAGGCGGCCCUGCAAGUCGGAUGUGAAAUCCCACGGCUCAACCGUGGAAGUGCAUUCGAAACUGCAGGGCUAGAGUCCUGGAGAGGAAGGUGGAAUGCUUGGUGUAGAGGUGAAAUUCGUAGAUAUCAAGCGGAACACCGGUGGCGAAGGCGGCCUUCUGGACAGUGACUGACGCUGAGACGCGAAAGCGUGGGGAGCAAACAGG
rnacentral:rRNA from 1 species